rnacentral:rRNA from 1 species
AACGAACGCUGGCGGCAGGCUUAACACAUGCAAGUCGAGCGCCCCGCAAGGGGAGCGGCAGACGGGUGAGUAAUGCGUGGGAAUCUACCCAUCUCUACGGAAUAACGCAUGGAAACGUGUGCUAAUACCGUAUACGUCCUUCGGGAGAAAGAUUUAUCGGAGAUGGAUGAGCCCGCGUUGGAUUAGCUAGUUGGUGGGGUAAAGGCCUACCAAGGCGACGAUCCAUAGCUGGUCUGAGAGGAUGAUCAGCCACACUGGGACUGUGACACGGCCCAGACUCCUACGGGAGGCAGCAGUGGGGAAUAUUGGACAAUGGGCGCAAGCCUGAUCCAGCCAUGCCGCGUGAGUGAUGAAGGCCCUAGGGUUGUAAAGCUCUUUCACCGGUGAAGAUAAUGACGGUAACCGGAGAAGAAGCCCCGGCUAACUCUGUGCCAGCAGCCGCGGUAAAAC